rnacentral:snRNA from 1 species
AUACUUAGCUAGCAGGAGCCAUACCAUAAUCAUGAACGUGGUUUUCCCAGGGUGAGGCUUAUCCAUUGCACUUGCCUGUGAUCUCCCCAUUAAAAAAAAAAAAGAUUCAAGAUUUGAGGCAGAACACUGUC